AGGGGGGAUGGAUGGAGGGGUGUGUGGAGGGGUGUGGAUGCAGGAUGGAUGGUGCAGUUGGGUGGAUGGAGGUGGGAUGAAGGGGGGGUGUGGAUGCAGGAUGGAUGGUGUGGUUGGAUGGAAGGAUGGAGGGGGGGGGGGAUGGAUGGAGGGGUGUGUGGAGGGGUGUGGAUGCAGGAUGGAUGGUGCGGUUGGGUGGAUGGAGGUGGGAUGAAGGGGGGGUGUGGAUGCAGGAUGGAUGGUGCAGUUGGGUGGAUGGAGGUGGGAUGAAGGGGGGGUGUGGAUGCAGGAUGGAUGGUGUGGUUGGAUGGAAGGAUGGAGGGGGGGGGGGAUGGAUGGAGGGGUGUGUGGAGGGGUGUGGAUGCAGGAUGGAUGGUGCGGUUGGGUGGAUGGAGGUGGGAUGAAGGGAGGGGGGGAUGUGUGGAGGGGUGUGGAUGUGGGAUGGAUGGUGCAGUUGGAUGGAGGGAGGGCGUUAAGGGGGGAUGGAUG